UGAAAUGGAGGAGAAAUUACAGCAAUUUAUCAAGGGAAAUUACAGGUGUAGACACAUGUCAGCAGUGGAAACAGGUUCCUUUCAACUUUAAGUAUUUGGAGAUUUUCCUCAAAUUCCA
ensembl:misc_RNA